CCUGCGGGAGGCAGCAGUGAGGAAUAUUGGUCAAUGGGCGCGAGCCUGAACCAGCCAAGUAGCGUGAAGGAUGACUGCCCUACGGGUUGUAAACUUCUUUUAUAAAGGAAUAAAGUGAGGCACGUGUGCCUUUUUGUAUGUACUUUAUGAAUAAGGAUCGGCUAACUCCGUGCCAGCAGCCGCGGUAAUACGGAGGAUCCGAGCGUUAUCCGGAUUUAUUGGGUUUAAAGGGAGCGUAGAUGGGUUGUUAAGUCAGUUUUGAAAGUUUGCGGCUCAACCGUAAAAUUGCAAUUGAUACUGGCAGUCUUGAGUACAGUUGCGGUCGGCGGCAUUCGUGGUGUCGCGGUGCCAUGCUUCGCUAUCACGAAGAACUCCGCUUGCGCAGGCAGCUUACUAAACUCCCACUGACAUUGAUGCUCGCACGUGUGUGUAUCCACCAGGAUUCGAUCUAGUAGUC
rnacentral:rRNA from 1 species